rnacentral:piRNA from 1 species
UGCUUGCAAGCACAAGUGUGG